CAUAGGUGGCGAACGUUAUCCGGAAUUAUUGGGCGUAAAGGAUGCGUAGAUGGUAGAAUAAGUUAUUGGUCGAUGCCAAACUCAAUUUGGCGGAAGCUGGUAAUACUGUUCAACUAGAGGGCAGGAGAGGUUGAUGGAAUUCUGUGUGGAGCGGUGAAAUGCGUUGAUCUGCAGAGGAGCACCAAAAAAGGCGAAGGCAUUCAACUAUUCUGUUCCUGACAUUGAGGCAUGAAAGCGUGGGGAGCAAACCGGAUUAGAUACCCGGGUAGUCCACGCCCUAAACGAUGAGCAUUAGAUAUUAGGCAUUUGCUUAGUGUCGCAGCUAACGCUUUAAAUGCUCCGCCUGGGUACUACGGCCGCAAGGCUA
rnacentral:rRNA from 1 species